UUAUUAUUAAACUUUAUUAUAUAGUCUUACUUAACAUUGUUUCAGUUAACUUUGAUUUUUAUUCUUACAUAGUAAGUGAAAUAUUUAUUAACUAAUUAUAAAAUUAAAGUUUUUAAUGCAAAAGUACUGAAAAAGUUUUAAAUUUCCUUGUAUGAAAGAAAAGGAGGUGGCCAUACACUGAGUUGGCAAAUUAUUAUGAUCACCAGAUGAUUUUAGAUAAAAUAAUUAUUCUAUAAAUAAUUCUGAUAUAAGAUGUCUUCAUUAUCUGUGGAACAAAGAUAUGGAGAGACUAAUGAAGAUAACAUUAAUGAAAUAAUGGGUAAACAACAUAUUCUAAUGGAUCUUGAACAUGGAAUGAUUAUAGACACAACAGCAGUGCAAAUCAUUAAUAAAAUGGCUGCACUGGUGAAUUGUUCAAGAGCAACAGCAGUUAAUGUAUACAGAGUGGAUCAAAAGACGAGAAAAAACGAUCUGAGCACAAGACUUGCAAUUAUAAAUGGCAACUGGAUGUUCAAAUGGAAUAGAGAGUGAAUAGAUUUGUUCACUCCAAUAAAUGGACAAUAGUACAACAAAUUACAGAUAAUGUGAAUCAAAGGGAUAGCUCAAAUAGUCUCUCAAUGAAUAAUAUGCUGCACAUUACAUCAUAUGGAUUACUGAAGCAGAAAUACUAACUCAAUAAUCAUAAUAAUUUGUCCAUUCAAUGUAUAUAUACAGUAGUAGUAAAUAGGAAAUGAAGUAAACAUAUUUCAUAUGACUGCAAAUUCAAAUGUGUGAGAUUAAGUAUCUGGAUAAUUUGUUAAAUCAUUUAAAAUUGUUGGAUUAAAUUUUAUUGUUUGUAUUUUAUAUUAAUUGACACCAAUGCAU
rnacentral:lncRNA from 1 species